rnacentral:rRNA from 1 species
AUUGAACGCUGGCGGCAUGCUUUACACAUGCAAGUCGAACGGCAGCGCGGGCUUCGGCCUGGCGGCGAGUGGCGAACGGGCGAGUAAUGCAUCGGAACGUGCCCAGUAGUGGGGGAUAGCCCGGCGAAAGCCGGAUUAAUGCCGCAUACGACCUGAGGGUGAAAGCGGGGGACCGAAAGGCCUCGCGCUAUUGGAGCGGCCGAUGUCGGAUUAGCUAGUUGGUGGGGUAAAGGCUUACCAAGGCGACGAUCCGUAGCUGGUCUGAGAGGACGACCAGCCACACUGGGACUGAGACACGGCCCAGACUCCUACGGGAGGCAGCAGUGGGGAAUUUUGGACAAAGGGGGCAACCCUGAUCCAGCCAUGCCGCGUGCGGGAAGAAGGCCUUCGGGUUGUAAACCGCUUUUGUUCGGGAAGAAAUCCUCUGGGCUAAUACCCCGGGGGGAUGACGGUACCGGAAGAAUAAGCACCGGCUAACUACGUG